AUGCUUUGUACAAGCAGGGACAUGAAGAUGGAGUCGCACACCCAGAUCUUGAUAUUCCUGCUCCUCUGGAUGUCUGGUACUGAGGGGAACAUUGUGAUGACCCAGUCUCCGAAAGUCAUGUCCACAUCUGUCAGUGACAGGAUCUCUCUAGACUGCAAGUCCAGUCAGAAUGUGUAUAAUAAUGUAGCAUGGUAUCAACAGAAAUCAGGGCAGCCUCCUAAACUUCUAAUCUAUGGUGCAUCCAAUAACCCCUCCGGGGUCCCAGAUCGCUUCACAGGCAGUGGAUCUGGGACAGAUUUCACUCUCAGCAUCAGCAGUGUGCAGGCUGAAGCCCUGGCAGUUUAUUACUGUCAGAAGCAUUAUGACUAUCCUCCCACAGUGCUUCAGCUUCCAACACAAACCUCUUUGAAUGUCUCACCACUUGCCUGCAGCACAUACAGCAGUUGGCCUGCACACUUCCCCAUUCUGCCUGAGAUCUGUUAUGCAUGA